rnacentral:lncRNA from 1 species
UUGUUUCUGGUUUGUUCUAGUGCCAAGAGUUUUUUCGGUAUGGUGGGCCUAUCGACAAUGUUGUUUUGGUCUAUUUCAGGCUAUUCACACUGCCAUUUCAGCCAGCUACGAUCUAUCUCAAGGUUGUUUCGGCCUUCCGUAGGCAUCAAUAACUCUUUGGUCUUGUGCGAAUUAGUUGCUGGAAAUGGUUGUAAAGCUUAACACAAUUUGCAUCAAAGAACAGAGUCAGAUAUAUUAACAUAUAUUUUAUAGGAACGACAUGCCACUAUUUAUGGAAUUACAUAACAUAGAGUAAAAUAGACACUUUAGACAAUGAUAUAAAAAUAUGUAUACUAGAGAUCAUUCGUUUUUAAAAGUAACUAAGAAUUUAACUAAAUGUAGUAACAACAUUUCAUAUAUUUGGUGUUCCUUGUAUUUAUUUGGUGAUCCU